rnacentral:rRNA from 1 species
GAUGAACGCUGGCGGCGUGCCUAAUACAUGCAAGUCGAGCGAACAGAUAAGGAGCUUGCUCCUUUGACGUUAGCGGCGGACGGGUGAGUAACACGUGGGUAACCUACCUAUAAGACUGGAAUAACUCCGGGAAACCGGGGCUAAUGCCGGAUAACAUUUAGAACCGCAUGGUUCUAAAGUGAAAGAUGGUUUUGCUAUCACUUAUAGAUGGACCCGCGCCGUAUUAGCUAGUUGGUAAGGUAACGGCUUACCAAGGCAACGAUACGUAGCCGACCUGAGAGGGUGAUCGGCCACACUGGAACUGAGACACGGUCCAGACUCCGACGGGAGGCAGCAGUAGGGAAUCUUCCGCAAUGGGCGAAAGCCUGACGGAGCAACGCCGCGUGAGUGAUGAAGGUCUUCGGAUCGUAAAACUCUGUUAUUAGGGAAGAACAAAUGUGUAAGUAACGGUGCACGUCUUGACGGUACCUAAGCAGAAAGCCACGGCUAACUACGU